rnacentral:rRNA from 1 species
GAUGAACGCUGGCGGCGUGCUUAACACAUGCAAGUCGAACGAAGCACUUCAAUCGAUUUCUUCGGAAUGAAGUUUUAGUGACUGAGUGGCGGACGGGUGAGUAACGCGUGGGUAACCUGCCUCACACAGGGGGAUAACAGUUGGAAACGGCUGCUAAUACCGCAUAAGCGCACAGUACCGCAUGGUACAGUGUGAAAAACUCCGGUGGUGUGAGAUGGACCCGCGUCUGAUUAGCUAGUUGGCAGGGCAACGGCCUACCAAGGCGACGAUCAGUAGCCGACCUGAGAGGGUGACCGGCCACAUUGGGACUGAGACACGGCCCAAACUCCUACGGGAGGCAGCAGUGGGGAAUAUUGCACAAUGGGGGAAACCCUGAUGCAGCGACGCCGCGUGAGCGAAGAAGUAUUUCGGUAUGUAAAGCUCUAUCAGCAGGGAAGAAGAAA